rnacentral:rRNA from 1 species
UACGACUACAUAUCAGGCAUAUCAAUAAGCGGAGGAAAAGAAACUAACAAGGAUUCCCUUAGUAACGGCGAGUGAAGCGGGAAGAGCUCAAAUUUGAAAUCUUCAAGGUUCCUACCUUGACGAAUUGUAGUUUAAAGAAGUGUUUUCUGUUAGAUGAGUAGCAAAAGUUCCUUGGAAUGGGACAUCAUAGAGGGUGAGAAUCCCGUAUUUGGUUAUUCAUUCUAGCUUUGUGAUACACUUUCAAAGAGUCGGAUUGUUUGGGAAUGCAGUCCAAAAUGGGUGGUAAAUUUCAUCUAAAGCUAAAUAUUGGCGAGAGACCGAUAGCGAACAAGUACCGUGAGGGAAAGAUGAAAAGAACUUUGAAAAGAGAGUUAAACAGUACGUGAAAUUGUCAAAAGGGAAGCGUUUGACACCAGUGUUGUUUUUCCGAAAAUCAAUUACGAAUGGCUUGAUUUUGUGUUGUAUUGACCUUAUCAGCUUUCUUCACUUUUUUCGAGUCUUUCUUAAUGCACUUUUCGGUUAACAAGUCAACAUCAAUUUCUUUUGUUGUAAAAGAGUAUUCGGAAGGUGGCUUUCUUUUCGGAGAAAGUGUUUAUAGCCCUAUACUUCUACAAUCGGAGAGAUUGAGGUCUGCAGCGUAGAUCCUUCGGGGUUAGAUACAUUUGUGCUAAGUUGUAGCUUUUCAUAGACAACUUGUUGACUAUGUUUAGUCAUGCGGCUUACUCGCUUAUGCUAUUUUACCUACGCUUAGGAUGUUGAGUAGCGACAUACGCAC